GGGAACAAAGAGGCACUUGGCUCACCCUAGAUCAAGAGGAGAGGCUCUCCAGAUUUGCUGACCUAGAAGGAUAAGUCUGAAAGUAGGAGGGUGGGGAGAGCCAGAUGAACAAGGGAGGUGAAAACGUGAUCUAGGGAGGCAUCCGAGUGAGCAAAGGCACGAGUGAGCCUGGUACACUUCUGGGCAGGCAGAAGGAAGGCAGUUAGGCUGUUAGGAAGGCAGUUAGGCUGCAGUGAAUUCUACAAAGAGGCUAUGGGAAAGAAACCUGGAAAGUACCCUUGGCUGUGUACAUUUGAGUAAAGAGAGCACUAUAAAAUCAAAAACCAAUGAAAUGGUUUCCAGAACACAGAACUAUUAAGCUUAAGAAAAGGACAGAAGGAACUGAAGAGAGAGGAACUGUUUUGGAGCAUCACACUUCCACCUCAGAAGAAAUAAGGAAGGAAGGAGGAGGGUGUUCCCACGGCUCUUCAACCAGGCCGGCUCUUCAGCCUACAUCCCCAUCUCAUCAAGUAAAAGGGAUUUUUCAACUGGACCAACCAGAUGGUUUAACAGUGCACUCCCACACCAUUCAACUACGCAAGGGAGAUACACUUAACAUAUGCAGUCGUAUAACACCUACUAACAUUUUCAAACAUUAAACCUUUAAAAAAGAGUUCUAAAGAAAUAGAAGCUUGAAGUAUCAUCUCUCAAGUAUAUAGACACUACUUCAUGGUGUGGUAAUAUAUGCAUAUAGAAGCUAGUAAACACCUCCAGGAGAUGCAAAAGGAAUUAGAACUGCCACAAGGUGCAAGCAAAACCUUGAGCUUCUUUAAAAUAUGAAGACUUCGAAGUUAUUUAUCCAAACCAACCUGAUCAUUUCUUAAGAGUGAAUAUACCUUGGAAGACGUGUCCUGCCUUUAGUAGCGUCACAAUGGAUUACAUCCUCUAUAAAGCAGUCUGGGGUGAGAAAAUCGAAUUUGGACACCGUUGAGGAGACUAUUGCAGUCAUCCAAGCUCAAGAUGGUGGAGCUUCAUCCUUGAGAAUAACCAAUGGGGAUAGAUUUAAGAGACACUUAGAGUCUGCAGCCAACAGGGCUGAAUGAGCAGAGAGUUAUGAUUCAGAAGAUCAUCUAAAAUUGAACAGCUGCCACUACUGGCAAUAAGUCUACUGCCAUUUGGUAGAUAACCUUCUUAUCACACAGAAAAAUAUCAGUACAGACAAAUAGACCGCAAAGAAAAUGAGACCAUCAGCAAAGAAGAUAAAGAAGUUUGUACAAAGCAACUUUUUAUAAAUGGAUGGCUGUCAGGCAAAAAUAAAUUUCCUGUGGACAAGACCAAGAGCAAGGCAAGAGGAAAAUAAACAUGUUUAAACUAUUGGAGAGUCCAUAAUUUAAAUAUAAACUCUUCUGUUGAGUGGUAGUGUGCACCGAAUCAGUUCCAGGGAUGGCAAUAAAUGUUACGCUGCAUUUUAGGAAGUAUGGGAGAGGAAGCUGGGGCAAGAGGAACUAAUGCAUGAUUAAUGCUAGAUAUUUGGAAUUGCCUAGAGCAAAGGAGGUUGGGGGCUGCAGAAAACUAGAUCUUUGAAGAUUUAAUAGAUUCCUCAUUCUAUGUCAGUCAGCCCACUUAGAUUUGUCACGUGUUAGCUCUGUUUUUCUUUACAUUUAGUAUUUUUAGUAAUGGCUUUUACAUUUUUAAAAAUCAGGUUGAAUUUAAGCUAAUGGACAAUAAAACUUCAGGGUUAGAGAUACUGUUUUUAUUCAGCAACUAGAUGAGGAACUGCAAUGAAUGAGAAUUUGGAAAUUGAUGUUUUUAUAGUGACACAAGCUGCAUCACUAUGAGAUGUUCUUAGAGAGGAAAUAUUUGAAAUUUUUAAUAUUUGCAUUUUAAAUUGGAAUUGAGAAAUGGGCAAAUGAAGACAUAGCUCAAUGGUCAAAUUAAACAUUACUUGUUAUUCUAAAUGCAAGAUUCUAGUUAAAUUAGAAGGGUGGAAAAGUGUUGUUAAUUAUUUUUUCUUCAUAGGAAUGUAAAAUCAACUAUAAAAAAUUAAUGCAUGAGACCCAGGGAUUAGCAUUACAGCAAAUUCAGUGAUUUUUGCAAUCCAUGCCUUUACAAAGAAUGUGUGAUUACUUUGUCUAGACUUUGUAGCACACUAUAAUAAAUAGAGACUGACAAUAUCAAUAUAUUUCAUAAA
ensembl:lncRNA LINC00343 long intergenic non-protein coding RNA 343